rnacentral:rRNA from 1 species
ACUUAAAUUGAAGAGUUUGAUCAUGGCUCAGAUUGAACGCUGGCGGCAGGCCUAACACAUGCAAGUCGAACGGUAACAGGAAGCAGCUUGCUGCUUCGCUGACGAGUGGCGGACGGGUGAGUAAUGUCUGGGAAACUGCCUGAUGGAGGGGGAUAACUACUGGAAACGGUAGCUAAUACCGCAUAACGUCGCAAGACCAAAGAGGGGGACCUUCGGGCCUCUUGCCAUCGGAUGUGCCCAGAUGGGAUUAGCUAGUAGGUGGGGUAACGGCUCACCUA